CUCCAGCUCAUCUUGAGUACGUUUGCGUGGUGUGAUAAACUGAAGUUCUUUUAAAAGCUCUUCUUUUUCAUUGAUUAACAUCAAUUUUUCCUUUUCCACAUCCAGUGCCCCAGGCCAGGCCUCACCAUCUAACUUAGACAGUUCAAUCUUCAAGUUAGCCAUGCUUCUCUUUGCCUCUUCAUAUUGAAGACUUAGUCUGACCUUCUCUGCUAAAUUGGAUCUACUUCUCG
rnacentral:lncRNA from 1 species